rnacentral:rRNA from 1 species
UGGUCAGGCGAACGCUGGCGGCGUGCCUAAUACAUGCAAGUCGAGCGGACUUGCUGGAGCUUGCUCCAGCAGGUUAGCGGCGGACGGGUGAGUAACACGUGGGCAACCUGCCUGUAAGACUGGGAUAACUCCGGGAAACCGGAGCUAAUACCGGAUAGUAUCUUGAACCGCAUGGUUCAAGAUGGAAAGACGGUUUCGGCUGUCACUUGCAGAUGGGCCCGCGGCGCAUUAGCUAGUUGGUGAGGUAAUGGCUCACCAAGGCAACGAUGCGUAGCCGACCUGAGAGGGUGAUCGGCCACACUGGGACUGAGACACGGCCCAGACUCCUACGGGAGGCAGCAGUAGGGAAUCUUCCGCAAUGGACGAAAGUCUGACGGAGCAACGCCGCGUGAGUGAUGAAGGUUUUCGGAUCGUAAAACUCUGUUGUUAGGGAAGAACAAGUGC